UACGGAGGAUGCAAGCGUUAUCCGGAAUGAUUGGGCGUAAAGCGUCCGCAGGUGGCUAUGUAAGUCUGCUGUUAAAGAGUCUAGCUCAACUAGAUAAGAGCAGUGGAAACUACAAGGCUAGAGUACGUUCGGGGCAGAGGGAAUUCCUGGUGUAGCGGUGAAAUGCGCAGAUAUCAGGAGGAACACCAAUGGCGAAGGCAGCUCGCUGGAACGGUACUGACGCUGAGGCGCGAAAGCGUGGGGAGCGAACAGG
rnacentral:rRNA from 1 species